rnacentral:rRNA from 1 species
UACGUAGGGUGCGAGCGUUGUCCGGAAUUACUGGGCGUAAAGAGCUCGUAGGUGGUUUGUCGCGUUGUCCGUGAAAUUCCCUGGCUUAACUGGGGGCGUGCGGGCGAUACGGGCAGACUGGAGUACUGCAGGGGAGACUGGAAUUCCUGGUGUAGCGGUGGAAUGCGCAGAGUAUCAGGAGGAACACCGGUGGCGAAGGCGGGUCUCUGGGCAGUAACUGACGCUGAGGAG